UUGAUCAGUAUUAGAGAGCAUAAAAAGAUAUCUUUUUAUCGCCGAAGGUGCAAGUAAAUUUAUUACGAAACUCUCAGGCAAAAGGAUAAUACUGUAACG
rnacentral:ncRNA from 2 species